rnacentral:rRNA from 1 species
GUAAGGGAUAUUGCGACAAUGGACGAAAGUCUGACGCAGCAACGCCGCGUGCGGGAUGACGGCCUUCGGGUUGUAAACCGCUUUUCGGGGGGAAGAGGAAGGACGGUACCCCCGGAAUAAGUCUCGGCUAACUACGUGCCAGCAGCCGCGGUAAAACGUAGGAGGCGAGCGUUAUCCGGAUUUACUGGGUGUAAAGCGCGUGCAGGCGGUUUAGCAAGUCGUGCGUGAAAGCGCCCGGCUCAACCGGGCGAGGUCGUGCGAAACUGCUUAACUUGAGGUAGGUAGAGGCGUGUGGAAUUCCGGGUGUAGUGGUGAAAUGCGUAGAGAUCCGGAGGAACACCAGUGGCGAAGGCGACACGCUGGGCCUGACCUGACGCUCAGACGCGAAAGCAUGGGUAGCGAACGGGAUUAGAAACCCGAGUAGUCC